CUUGGGAGUAGACGAAUGACGCACCUGCUUCUCCCAGGCGGUCCCGCCCACUCCUCCGCCGUAAAAAGCAGAGGAGAGGAAAUUAUGGGUGGUGUGGACGUGGUGGGCCCCGCCGCCCAUAUGGUCUGAGAGGGGAGGGUAAUUGAUGGUGAAGAAGAAGAUGAGGACGAGGGCGACGAGGAGGGUGGCUCGGAAGAGGAGCUUGGAGGAGGCGUUGAGGAGCUUGGUGCUGUUGACUCUGCGGAGGUAGCUGUUGUAGCGCUCAAGCUUUAUGGUCUUGCUUGUAUCUGGAGGAGACGCCAUUGCGGCAAAUAUUCCAAUAUAUCAAA
rnacentral:lncRNA from 1 species